AUGUCGGUCUGCAGAGCCCUGGCCACCUCCAUACAGGGUCCAUCCGUCUUCCCCUUGACUACCUGCUGCAAACCCAACACCGCUGCCUCCAUAAUGCUGGGCUGCCUGGUCAAGGGCUACUUCCCAGAGCCAGUGACCGUGACCUGGGAUGCAGGAUCCCUCGACACAAAUGCUGUGACCUUCCCGGCUGUCUCCGUCAUGACCUCCGGCCUCUACACCACCAGCAGCCAGAUGAAUGUCUCGGGCGCGUGGGCCAAGCAGAUGUUCACCUGCAGCGUGGCGCAUGCCCCGUCCACAACCCAGGUCAACAAGACCUUCAGUGCCUGUGCCAUAAACUUCACCCCACCCACCGUGAAGCUCUACCACUUUUCCUGUGACCACCGCGGGACCUUCCAACCCAACAUCGAGCUCUUGUGCCUCAUCUCCAACUACACCCCAGGUGACAUCAAGGUCACCUGGCUGGUGGAUGGACAGAAUACCACCACCGAGUACUGGUUCAUGGGCCCACUCAAGCAGGAGGGCAACCUGUCCUCCACCCACAGCGAGCUCCAUGUGUCCCAGGCCCAGUGGAUGUCUCAACACACCUACACCUGCCAGGUCACCUACCAGGGCUACACCUUCAAGGACAGCACCCACAAGUGCACAGAAUCCGAGCCACGAGGCGUGACAGCCUACCUGAUCCCACCUGGCCCCCUCGAUCUGUUCGUCAAUAAAUCGCCCGUGAUCACCUGUCUGGUGGUGGACUUGGCCAGCAAGAAGGACGUGAGCCUGACCUGGUCCCGGGAGACUGGGAGGUCGGUGAGCCCCGGUCCCCUGGUGCUCAAGGAUCAGCUCAACGGGACCGUCACUCUCACAUCCACCCUGCCAGUGGACACCCAGGCCUGGACUGACGGCGAGACCUACCACUGCACGGUGUCCCACCCCGACCUGCCCAAGGGCCUCGUGCGCUCCAUCACAAAGACCCCAGGCCAGCGUGCCCCCCCGGACGUCCAUGUGUUCCCACCUCCCGAGGUAGGGCAGAAGAGCGCCAACAAAUGCACCCUCACCUGCCUGGUCCAGAACUUCUUCCCGGCGGAGGUCUCGGUGCAGUGGCUGCACAAUGGGGUGCUGCUGCUCGACCACCAGCACAGCACCACACAGCCACAGCCCACCGGCGGCCCACACCCCACCUUCUUCGUCUUCAGCCGCCUGGAGGUGUCCCGGGCUGACUGGGAGCGCAACAACAAAUAUGUCUGCCGCGUGGUCCACGAGGCACUGCCCAACACUCGGAUACGUGAGGCAGCAGUGUCUGAAAAACCCAGCAAAUGA